AAUCCUCUGAGUGGCCCUAACACCAUAUGGACAAUGGCUUCUGUCUGUAGAGACUGUGAGUCAUGCAUGGACAUGUGACUUGCCCAGGUGAUUCCAGAACUCCAUCUUGGAGCUGGACUUUG